rnacentral:rRNA from 1 species
UACGUAGGGGGCAAGCGUUGUCCGGAAUCAUUGGGCGUAAAGAGCGUGUAGGCGGCCCGAUAAGUCCGCCGUGAAAGUCCAGGGCUCAACCCUGGAAUGCCGGUGGAAACUGUCGGGCUGGAGUCCGGAAGAGGCGAGUGGAAUUCCUGGUGUAGCGGUGAAAUGCGCAGAUAUCAGGAGGAACACCAAUGGCGAAGGCGGCUCGCUGGGACGGUACUGACGCUGAGACGCGAAAGCGUGGGGAGCAAACAGG